UUGAUGCUUUAUGCAAGCUUUCUGUAGAUUCCGAUGCUAAUGUACAAAGUGCAGCUCACCUUCUUGACAGGCUUGUCAAGGAUAUCGUAACCGAGAGUGACCAGUUCAGCAUAGAAGAAUUCAUACCGCUUUUGAGAGAGCGCAUGAAUGUGCUGAAUCCUUAUGUAAGACAAUUUUUGGUGGGGUGGAUAACAAUGUUAGACAGUGUUCCUGAUAUUGACAUGCUUGGUUUCCUUCCUGAUUUUCUCGAUGGUUUAUUCAAUAUGCUGAGUGAUUCCAGCCAUGAGAUAAGGCAGCAAGCUGAUGCAGCACUUUUUGAGUUUUUGCAGGAGAUAAAGAAC